UCCCUGGUAGUAUAUCGGUUAGUACACGCGCUUGUCAUUAGCCGCAGUAUUGAACUAAGUUGCGCGCGCGAAAGCUGGGUUCGACUCCCAGCCAGGGAG